AAGGAUGCAGCUCAGUGGUACAGCACUUGCCUAGUAUGCACAAGAUCCUGGGUUCCAUUCCCAGCAUCAUAA
rnacentral:tRNA from 1 species